AAGCUCAUUGAGCAGCACUUCCCAAGUGACCAACAAACGGUUGUUGGGAACUUGGGAAGUGCUGUGCAAGGGCCUUU